rnacentral:rRNA from 1 species
CCUACGGGAGGCAGCAGUGGGGAAUCUUGGACAAUGGGGGCAACCCUGAUCCAGCCAUGCCGCGUGAGUGAUGAAGGCCUUAGGGUCGUAAAGCUCUUUCGCCUGUGAAGAUAAUGACGGUAGCAGGUAAAGAAACCCCGGCUAACUCCGUGCCAGCAGCCGCGGUAAUACGGAGGGGGUUAGCGUUGUUCGGAAUUACUGGGCGUAAAGCGCACGUAGGCGGAUCGGAAAGUUGGGGGUGAAAUCCCGGGGCUCAACCCCGGAACUGCCUCCAAAACUAUCGGUCUAGAGUUCGAGAGAGGUGAGUGGAAUUCCGAGUGUAGAGGUGAAAUUCGUAGAUAUUCGGAGGAACACCAGUGGCGAAGGCGGCCCACUGGCUCGAUACUGACGCUGAGGUGCGAAAGUGUGGGGAGCAAACAGGAUUAGAUACCCUGGUAGUCCACACCGUAAACGAUGAAUGCCAGUCGUCGGGUAGCAUGCUAUUCGGUGACACACCUAACGGAUUAAGCAUUCCGCCUGGGGAGUACGGUCGCAAGAUUAAAACUCAAAGGAAUUGACGGGG